ACAGCGUUCCCCGCUCAGAGUCAGACAGAUCAGCCCCCGGGCAUGGGUGGCCAUAAAAUUGAUGGCAUCCGGUGUGACGAACUCCGCGGCCAUCAC
rnacentral:antisense_RNA from 1 species